UCCCCACACCCCGGACGGGGGGGGGGGGGGUUGCUCAGGUCCCAGAGAGAAUGCCCUUAUCCCGCAUGAUCCCUCACCCCGAAUCCCCCAGGGUCCUGCUCCCCGUGGCUGUCUCCCAGUGUCUGCUCUCUCUGGUGCCACUGCAGGGGCUCUGCCUGUCUGUGAUCCUGCCUCCACCAGAUUCGAGGUCUGGGGAGACGGGAGCUGCCCUGUCCCCCUCUUCUAGGCUCCUGGCUUCCCCUUCCUCCGCUCAAAGCCUGGAGGCCACCUUGGCCUUGCCAAGAAAUAGCCAACUCCUGAGAUUCUGCAGGACAUCAGGCACUGGUUGAGGGGCACACAGCCGGGGGCGCUGCGAGGUUAUCCAGGGGUCUGGAGAAACGCUUAGUGGAGACAUGUAGCCUUGGGAGGUUUGAACCUCCAGAACUGGAGCCAACUUCCUGAGAUUAGAACCUGUGUGUAUGUGAGAGUGUGUGCGUGUGCAUGCAGGCACGUGUGUGAGUGCAUAUGUGUGAGUGCACUGUGUGCAUACAUGCACAUGUGUAUGGGUAGGUGUGCGCAUGAGCGCACAUGUGGAUGUUCAUGGGUGAGUGCAGCUGUGUGAGUGUAUGUACACGUGUGGUCGUACCUGUGAGUGCGUGUGUGUGUGUAUGUGACCGUGCACUUGUCUGUUCCCCUUGGUUGCCAGGCCAAUGACUGCCCCUCUCUGCAUCCUGUCUUAUUUUUGUAUGUAAUGGUCUGUGGCUGCUUCCCUGCAAGGGGCCAGCCUGUCCCCUUGUAAAUAAAUGUCCUAAAGCUCCUUGCCCCUUGCCUGGGGCUGCCAGCUUGGCUCUCCUUCCUGGUCUUUCCCCUGCCUACAGAGUCUUCCCCACCUUCUGAUUCUACUGUGUACAUUCUAGGAGAAGAGAAGCUGGAGGUCUAGGAGAGCCAGCCUUCUGGGACCUUCUGUGUCCCUCCCCCAAGCUCCCCGUGACAAGGCAACAGGGCCACACAUGCUGCCCGUUCAGCCCACCCAGGCUCUGGAGCUCUCCAAAGCUGUGUAAACAAGGCUUCUGUGGAUGUUCAAAGGAACUGGCAACCUGCAGGGGAAAAGGCAAACUCCUUUCUUCAAAGGGAAGGGAAGCAUCCCACCAAUGAGGCCCCACUUGCCAAGGCUCAGGGCGGCCAGUGGGAAGGAAGCAGCCCCGGCCCUGUGCCCUGAAGACGGACAGAGAGAGGCUGCCUGCCCCAGCCGGCAGGAGGUGCUACCAGUGCAUGUGAAAGACCAGCUGCUGCAGGUAGCUUUCUGGAACCAAAGCGGGGCCUGAUUGUUUUUGGACAAGAGAGCAGUGUGUGGGAGGGAGGUGCCUACCCAGGGAGCUGGAGAAGGCAGCUCCUGAGCCUGAGGGGGGCAGGUCCUGGUCCAAGGAUCCCCCAUAGAGGGCUGCAGCCUGGCCCAUGCCCAUUCUGGCCCACUGUGUGGCCGGGCCUUACAUCUGACCUGUGCCUCUCCUGUGGGAUCGCCGGGCACAGGUGAUGCAGUGGCCUUUGUUUUUAUUAUUUCUUUUUCCAAUAAAAGGACUUGCCCAG